UACGGAAGGGGCAAGCGUUGUUCGGAAUCAUUGGGCGUAAAGGGCGCGUAGGCGGCCCCGUAAGUCUUGGGUGAAAGCCCUCGGCUCAACCGAGGAAUUGCCUUGGAUACUGCGGGGCUCGAGGCUGGAAGAGGACAGUGGAAUUCCCGGUGUAGCAGUGAAAUGCGUAGAGAUCGGGAGGAACAUCAGUUGCGAAGGCGGCUCUCUGGACCAGCACUGACACUGAGGCACGAAAGCGUGGGGAGCGAACAGG
rnacentral:rRNA from 1 species